rnacentral:rRNA from 1 species
UACAGAGGUCCCAAGCGUUGUUCGGAUUCACUGGGCGUAAAGGGUGCGUAGGCGGUCGGGUAAGUCUGACGUGAAAUCUUCAAGCUCAACUUGGAAACUGCGUCCGAUACUAUUCGGCUAGAGGAAUGGAGGGGAGACUGGAAUACUUGGUGUAGCAGUGAAAUGCGUAGAUAUCAAGUGGAACACCAGUGGCGAAGGCGGCGAUCUGGGAAGAUACUGACGCUGAGGUGCGAAAGCGUGGGGAGCAAACAGG